UCAACCAUCAAGCCUGGCUUGUCGUUGGACCCCUUUGUCGCCCGGCGACAGAUCCAAAAGAUAAUGACCGGCGUCGUGGUGACCCUACAUGCAACGAGCUUGUAAGAGCAUGCACGUGGUGGUUGUCCGGCUCGGUUGUCACCCUUUAUUUUCUCAA
rnacentral:misc_RNA from 1 species